rnacentral:lncRNA from 1 species
CUUUCUAAGAAAAUGUAAUGUGUUGAAAAUAUUGUGGAAAUGGGAUGAAUGUCUCUUUUAAUCAAUUAAUCAAAUUUUACUUAUAAGAAAAGAAAAAAUAUUUCUUUUAAGUAACUAAAACAAUGUUUGGAUGUAUAAUUCAUGCACCAUUGUGUAGCCAAAAUAAGAAAUCAUCAUAUUCAACAAUCUAAAAGGAGAAACAAAUGAGAAGCGAUCAUUUCAUAUUAAAGUUUCCAAAGAAAAAGCAACCAUAAUCAAAAACCAUACAAAAAAUUUAUUCAAUGAAAAUAUAAAUAAAUUAAAUAAUAGUUAAACAAAUAUUGGAUAUACAUGUUUCUUUGAGAGGUUUAAAUUAAGAAAUUGAAAAUUAAAAAAAAAAGUUUAUUGUAUUGUUUACUAAUUUAUGCAAAAAAAAAAAAAAUCUNUAAAUUAAAUAAUAGUUAAACAAAUAUUGGAUAUACAUGUUUCUUUGAGAGGUUUAAAUUAAGAAAUUGAAAAUUAAAAAAAAAAGUUUAUUGUAUUGUUUACUAAUUUAUGCAAAAAAAAAAAAAAUCUCUACUUUUUAUUACAAAAGAGAAACUACCUGAAAAAUCAUCUCUUUGUCCUUCAUUUAUUUGUUCCACCAUGGCUACCCGUUACUAUUCACAAUAAUCAUAGUAGUCAAUUCUAUAAUAUUCUCUCCGACAAUUUUCUUCUUAUGAUGAUUGAAGCAAAUAAAUGAGGAGAGGGUAUAAGAGAAGUCACCCAACUUACUUCUCAGCUUUCAUUUUAUUUGUAAUUAAAGAGCAAAAGAGAAUUUCCCAAAAAGAAAACUUAAACAAAUAAAAAGCAAAAGAAUGGUAGAGGAUGAAAAAAGUUGUACAGAGUGUUUAUCUACUUUCCAUCGGUUUAUAAAGAAAGUUGGAAAAAUCAACUCUAGUAGUUAUGCAAGCAAAUUCUCUUUUAAAUAACUGCACCAUUUUAUAAAUAUAUAUAUAAUUU